rfam:Arenitalea lutea strain CGMCC 1.12213 genome assembly, contig: Ga0079849_101
UUUUAGUUGAAUGUCGCUUAGGGAUUGUAGCGGCAUACUUUUUUGCUUGUUACUUAGGUCCUUUUUUGAUCAAUAAUUAGGAAGCAAAAAAGAUAAAGCGGAAAGCCCGACCCUUG